AAGGGAGAGGUGAAGGGAGGCUCUGCUCAGCUGUGACGCAACAGAAGGCAGGAUCGGUGCUGACCUCCACCAUGGCCUGGUCCCCUCUCCUCCUCACCCUCCUCGCUCACUGCACAGGGUCGUGGGCUCAGUCGGGGCUGACUCAACCAUCCUCAGUGUCUGGGGCCCUGGGCCAGAGGGUCACUAUCUCCUGCACUGGAGUUGGUAGUUGGGUGGGCUGGUACCAACAAAUCCCAGGAAUGGCCCCCAAAACCAUCAUCUAUGAUAAUAGCAACUGACCCUCAGGGAUCCCAGAUUGAUUCUCCGGCUCCAAGUCUGGCAGCACAGCCACCCUGACCAUCACUGGGCUCCAGGCCGAGGACGAGGCUGAUUAUUACUGCUCAUCGAGGGACAGCAGUGGCAGAGAUUUUUUC